GACAGAGGGUGCAAACGUUGUUCGGAAUUACUGGGCGUAAAGCGCGUGUAGGCGGCUAAGUAAGUCGGGCGUGAAAUCCCACGGCUCAACCGUGGAAGUGCACUCGAAACUGCAUAGCUAGAGUCCUGGAGAGGAAGGUGGAAUGCUUGGUGUAGAGGUGAAAUUCGUAGAUAUCAAGCGGAACACCGGUGGCGAAGGCGGCCUUCUGGACAGUGACGUGACGCUGAGACGCGAAAGCG
rnacentral:rRNA from 1 species